rnacentral:lncRNA from 1 species
AUGUGGGUCCCAUAGAGGGGAUUUGGGGGUCCCAUGGGGAGAUGUGGGUCCCAUAAAGGGGAUCUGGGGGUCCCAUGGGGUGAUGUGGGUCCCAAUAGGAUUUGAGGGUUCCUACAGAGGGGAUCUGGGGGUCCCAUGGGGAGAUGUGGGUCCCAUAGUGGGGAUCUGGGGGUCCCAUGGGGUGAUGUGGGUCCCAUAGAGGGGAUCAGGGGGUCCCAUGGGGAGAUGUGGAUCCCAUAAAGGGGAUCUGGGGGUCCCAUGGGGUGAUGUGGGUCCCAAUAGGAUUUGAGGGUUCCUACAGAGGGGAUCUGGGGGUCCCAUGGGGAAAUGUGGGUCCCAUAGUGGGGAUCUGGGGGUCCCAUUGGGAAAUGUGGGUCCCAUAGAAGGGAUCUAGGUUCCAAUAGGAUCUGGGGGUCCCAUGGGGAGAUGUGGGUCCCAUAGAGGGGAUCUGGGUCCCAAUAGGAUCUGGGGGUCCCAUGGGGAGAUGGGGGUCCCAUAGAGGGGAUGUGGGGGUCCCGUGGGGCGCUGUGGGGGUACCGAGGCCGCUCCUCCUGCGCUGUGAUCCGGGGGGGUCCGGGCGGCACUCCAUGCAGAUGUGGGGGGCGGUUGGGGGGGCAGUUGGGGGGCAGUAGGGGCAGUUGUGAGGUGGAUAUGGGGCAAAGGGGGCAGUUGUGGGGCAAUAGGAGCGGUUGUGAGGUGGAUUUGGGGUAAUAGGGGCAGUUGUGGGGCAAUAGGGGCAGUUUUGAGGUGGGUGGGGGGUAAUAGGGGCAGUUGUGGGGCGAGAGGGGAAGUUGUGGGGCAACAGGAGAAUCCUGAGGGCAGAUAUGGGGCGAAUGUGGGGCAAGAUGGGCAGUUGUGGGGCAAUAAGGGCAGUUGUGAGGUGGAUGUGGGGCAAUAGGGGCAGUUGUGGGGCAAUAGGGGCCAUCGUGGGGCAAUAGGGGCAGUUGGGGGGCAAUAGGGGCCAUCGUGGGGCAAUAGGGGCAGUUGUGAGGCCAUCGUGGGGCAAUAGGGGCCAUCGUGGAGC